AAGAUGGCAGCUGAUGUUUUUGAUUUGGAGGACCAAGACUUGUAACAGCUGGUGGGAUUAUGGCAAAGGCUGUUCUAGCAAUAAAAAAUAAAUAAACUUUACAACUUUACUCUACAUAGUUUUCUUAUGAUGGGUCUCCUACAUGUGUUGCCUCUUACUAGGAAUUAGGACCAGAAAAGUGUGUGUGUAUAGUCUGGAAUAAAAGGAUAACUUUUCUGAACAACAUUGUGGAGUCGUAUUGCAAGCUAGACACGACACGUUAUGAUCAUCAUCUAGCAACGUCAUCCAAACAAUUGCGGAUUUCUGCAUUAAAAGCUUUCAAAUUAAAAUACUAUAGUACUGUAUGUCUUACUUGCAGUAUAGCACGCGAUACAGUUUAUAACUUUUUAUGAAUCUAAUAAUGCUCGAUUCUAGAGAGAACUUUGAAACCAAAGGAUGAACUACAAAGGAAAUUUGUUUCUUUAGGUAAACAGAACUUUAAAUGUAUAUGAAAUACUUAUUUGUUUGAAACAGUUUGUUGAAGAUCUUCAAUAAAAUUUAUGAAUAAAAUA